GAUGAACGCUGGCGGCGUGCCUAAUACAUGCAAGUCGAGCGAAUGGAUUAAGAGCUUGCUCUUAUGAAGUUAGCGGCGGACGGGUGAGUAACACGUGGGUAACCUGCCCAUAAGACUGGGAUAACUCCGGGAAACCGGGGCUAAUACCGGAUAACAUUUUGAACCGCAUGGUUCGAAAUUGAAAGGCGGCUUCGGCUGUCACUUAUGGAUGGACCCACGUCGCAUUAGCUAGUUGGUGAGGUAACGGCUCACCAAGGCAACGAUGCGUAGCCGACCUGAGAGGGUGAUCGGCCACACUGGGACUGAGACACGGCCCAGACUCCUACGGGAGGCAGCAGUAGGGAAUCUUCCGCAAUGGACGAAAGUCUGACGGAGCAACGCCGCGUGAGUGAUGAAGGCUUUCGGGUCGUAAAACUCUGUUGUUAGGGAAGAACAAGUGCUAGUUGAAUAAGCUGGCACCUUGACGGUACCUAACCAGAAAGCCACGGCUAUCUACGUGCCAGCAGCCGCCGUAA
rnacentral:rRNA from 1 species